UACGUAGGGUGCGAGCGUUGUCCGGAAUUACUGGGCGUAAAGAGCUCGUAGGUGGUUUGUCGCGUUGUUCGUGAAAACCGGGGGCUUAACCCUCGGCGUGCGGGCGAUACGGGCAGACUUGAGUACUGCAGGGGAGACUGGAAUUCCCGGUGUAGCGGUGAAAUGCGCAGAUAUCGGGAGGAACACCGGUGGCGAAGGCGGUUCUCUGGACAGUUCCUGACGCUGAGGCACGAAGGUCAGGGGAGCAAACGGG
rnacentral:rRNA from 1 species